GAUGAACGCUGGCGGCGUGCUUAACACAUGCAAGUCGAACGGAAAGGCUCCUGCUUGCAGGGGUACUCGAGUGGCGAACGGGUGAGUAACACGUGGGUGAUCUGCCCUGCACUUCGGGAUAAGCCUGGGAAACUGGGUCUAAUACCGGAUAGGACGAUGGUUUGGAUGCCAUUGUGGAAAGUUUUUCGGUGUGGGAUGAGCUCGCGGCCUAUCAGCUUGUUGGUGGGGUAAUGGCCUACCAAGGCGUCGACGGGUAGCCGGCCUGAGAGGGUGUACGGCCACAUUGGGUCUGAGAUACGGCCCAGACUCCUACGGGAGGCGGCAGUGGGGAAUAUUGCACAAUGGGCGCAAGCCUGAUGCAGCGACGCCGCGUGGGGGAUGACGGCCUUCGGGUUGUAAACUCCUUUCGCUAGGGACGAAGCGCAAGUGACGGUACCUGGAGAAGAAGCACCGGCUAACUACGUG
rnacentral:rRNA from 1 species